rnacentral:rRNA from 1 species
UACGUAGGGGACAAGCGUUGUCCGGACUUACUGGGCGUAAAGCGCAUGCAGGCGGAUUGGUAUGUGCCGUGUGAAAGCUCCCAACUUGCCUGGAAAAGGUCGCGGUAGACAACCGAUCUGGAAGCUCAGAGAGGUUCGUGGAAUUCCCGGUAUAGUAAUGAAAUGCGUAGAUAUCGGGAGGAACACCAAUGGCGCAAGCGGCGAACUGGCCAAGACCUAACGCUGAGACGCGACGGCGUGGAGAACAAACCGA